rnacentral:rRNA from 1 species
CCUACGGGAGGCAGCAGUGGGGAAUUUUGGACAAUGGGCGAAAGCCUGAUCCAGCCAUGCCGCGUGCAGGAUGAAGGCCUUCGGGUUGUAAACUGCUUUUGCACGGAACGAAAAGGUCUUUUCUAAUAAAGAAGGCUCAUGACGGUACCGUAAGAAUAAGCACCGGCUAACUACGUGCCAGCAGCCGCGGUAAUACGUAGGGUGCGAGCGUUAAUCGGAAUUACUGGGCGUAAAGCGUGCGCAGGCGGUUAUAUAAGACAGUUGUGAAAUCCCCGGGCUCAACCUGGGAACUGCAUCUGUGACUGUAUAGCUAGAGUACGGUAGAGGGGGAUGGAAUUCCGCGUGUAGCAGUGAAAUGCGUAGAUAUGCGGAGGAACACCGAUGGCGAAGGCAAUCCCCUGGACCUGUACUGACGCUCAUGCACGAAAGCGUGGGGAGCAAACAGGAUUAGAUACCCUGGUAGUCCACGCCCUAAACGAUGUCAACUGGUUGUUGGGUCUUCACUGACUCAGUAACGAAGCUAACGCGUGAAGUUGACCGCCUGGGGAGACGCGCGAGUAGAACACAANAGAGUGAGCGNGAGACGNGCGACGGACGACGACGAGGGAGGAGG